rnacentral:piRNA from 1 species
UCAAAUUGUUGAAUUAAACAA